rnacentral:tRNA from 1 species
GUCUCAGCGCGUAGUGGCUAACGCACGCCCCCGGUUAGGCGCGAGAUGCGGGUUCGAAUCCCGCCUGAGAUG